GUCCGAACCCUGGACGGACGUGCUGAAUACAUGCAGUCGAGCGGUACCGACGGGAGCUUGCUCCCUUAGGUCAGCGGCGGACGGGUGAGUAACACGUGGUACCUGCCUGUAGACUGGCAUAACUCCGGGAAACCGGGGCUAAAUACCGGAUGCUUGAAUUGAAACCGCCAUGGUUCCAAUAUCUAUAAAAAAGGUGGGCUUUUUCAGCCUUACCCACCUUAACAGGAAGGACCCCGCCGGGCGCCAUUUAAGCCUAGGUUGGUGUGAGGGUUUAACGGGCCUCACCCCAAGAGGCGAACGUAAUGCGUUAGCGCCCGACACCUGAGAGGGGUGAUCGGGCCCACACCUGGGAAUGGAGAAAAGGCCCAAUAUUUCCUUACGGGAAGGCAGCCAAUAGGCAACUCUUCCGAAUUGACGAAAGUCUGCCCGGACCACCCCCGGUGAUGAUGAAGUUUUGAUCAUAAACCUCUGUUGUAAGAAAACAUGUCCUGUCCAUAGGGCAUCUGCGCGCUACAGAAGACCGUUAUUCUCGCAGCCGGAUAAU
rnacentral:rRNA from 1 species